AACGAACGCUGGCGGCAUGCCUAACACAUGCAAGUCGAACGAACCCUUCGGGGUUAGUGGCGCACGGGUGCGUAACGCGUGGGAAUCUGCCCUUUGCUUCGGAAUAACUCAGGGAAACUUGUGCUAAUACCGGAUGAUGUCUUCGGACCAAAGAUUUAUCGGCAAGGGAUGAGCCCGCGUAGGAUUAGGUAGUUGGUGGGGUAAAGGCCUACCAAGCCGACGAUCCUUAGCUGGUCUGAGAGGAUGAUCGGCCACACUGGGACUGAGACACGGCCCAGACUCCUACGGGAGGCAGCAGUGGGGAAUAUUGGACAAUGGGCGCAAGCCUGAUCCAGCAAUGCCGCGUGAGUGAUGAAGGCCCUCGGGUCGUAAAGCUCUUUUACCAGGGAUGAUAAUGACAGUACCUGGAGAAUAAGCUCCGGCUAACUCCGUG
rnacentral:rRNA from 1 species